GCCCGGUAGCUACGUUCGGAUGGGAUAACCGCUGAAAGCAUCUAAGCGGGAAGCCCACCUCAAGAUUAGAUUUCCCUAAAGAGCCGUUCAAGACUAGGACGUUGAUAGGCAGGGUGUGGAAGCACAGCGAUGUGUGUAGCUAACCUGUACUAAUUGCUCGUUUGGCUUGACCAU
rnacentral:rRNA from 1 species